AUAGAAGUACUGGUCCCCGUUCGAUCACUGAAGUUAAUCAGCGUCGUGCCUGACCAGUAGUUUGAUGAUGAACCGACUGGGAACACUAAGUACUGUCAG